UUACGGCUCAGUAACACGUGAUCAACUUACCCUAUGGAGAAGGAUAACCUCGGGAAACUGAGGAUAAUACUUCAUAAUUGAAAAUGCCUGGAAUGGUUUUUCAAUGAAAGAGCAAUCUAAAUGGUGAUUGUAUCACCAUAGGAUAGGAUCGCGCCCGAUUAUGGCUGUUGGUGAGGUAACGGCUCACCAAACCUAUUAUCGGUAAGGGCCGUGAGAGCGGGAGCCCUGAGAUGGGUACUGAGACAAUGACCCAGGUCUUACGAGACGCAGCAGGCGCGAAACCUUCACAAUGCACGAAAGUGUGAUGAGGUUACCCGGAGUGCUACAAAGUAGCUGUGGUAGGUGAUUAGGAUUCCCUACUAGAAAGGAGAGGGCAAGGCUGGUGCCAGCCGCCGCGGUAAAACCAGCUCUUCAAGUGGUCGGGACUUUUAUUGGGUUUAAAGUGUCCGUAGCCUGUUUAGUAAGUUCCUGGUUAAAUCGGAUAGCUUAACUAUCUGUCUGCUAGGAAUACUACUAUACUAGGGGGCGGGAGAGGUCUGAGGUACUCCGGGGGUAGCGGUGAAAUGCUCUAAUCCUCGGGGGACCACCAGUGGCGAAGGCGUCAGACUGGAACGCGCCCGACGGUGAGGGACGAAAGCCAGGGGAGCGAACCGGAUUAGAUACCCGGGUAGUCCUGGCUGUAAACGAUGCGUGCUAGGUGUUGGUAUGACUAUGAGCCGUAUCAGUGCCGUAGGGAAACCGUUA
rnacentral:rRNA from 1 species